rnacentral:rRNA from 1 species
GAUAAACGCUGGCGGCGUGCCUUAUGCAUGUAAGUCGAACGUCCCCGACGCAAGUUGGGGAGUGGCAAACGGGUGCGUAAUACGUAGGUAACCUGCCCCUAAGUGGGGAACAACUCUGAGAAAUCGGGGCUAAUACCGCAUGUGGUCCUUUAUCGCAAGGUGAGGGAUUAAAGCCUUCGGGCGCUUGCGGAGGGGCUUAUGUCCUACCAGGUAGUUGGUGGGGUAAUAGCUUACCAAGCCGAUGACGGGUAGCUGGUCUAAGAGGAUGAUCAGCCACACUGGGACUGAGACACGGCCCAGACUCCUACGGGAGGCAGCAGCAGGGAAUAUUGUGCAAUGGGCGAAAGCCUAACACAGCGACGCCGCGUGAGGGAAGAAGGCCUUCGGGUCGUAAACCUCUUUUCUCAGGGAGGAGUAAGGACAGUACCUGAGGAAUAAGCCACGGCUAACUACGUGCCAGCAGCCGCCGUAAUAC